rnacentral:rRNA from 1 species
UACGUAGGGUGCGAGCGUUGUCCGGAAUUAUUGGGCGUAAAGAGCUUGUAGGCGGUUUGUCGCGUCUGCUGUGAAAAUUCCGGGGCUCAACCCCGAACUUGCAGUGGGUACGGGCAGACUAGAGUGUGGUAGGGGAGACUGGAAUUCCUGGUGUAGCGGUGAAAUGCGCAGAUAUCAGGAGGAACACCGAUGGCGAAGGCAGGUCUCUGGGCCACUACUGACGCUGAGAAGCGAAAGCAUGGGGAGCGAACAGG